rnacentral:rRNA from 1 species
AUGAAGCCGGAGCUUGCUCUGGUGGAUUAGUGGCGAACGGGUGAGUAACACGUGAGUAACCUGCCCCUGACUCUGGGAUAAGCGUUGGAAACGACGUCUAAUACCGGAUACGAGCUGCGAUCGCAUGAUCAGCAGCUGGAAAGAAUUUCGGUCUGGGAUGGACUCGCGGCCUAUCAGCUAGUUGGUGAGGUAACGGCCCACCAAGGCGACGACGGGUAGCCGGCCUGAGAGGGUGACCGGCCACACUGGGACUGAGACACGGCCCAGACUCCUACGGGAGGCAGCAGUGGGGAAUAUUGCACAAUGGGCGCAAGCCUGAUGCAGCAACGCCGCGUGAGGGACGACGGCCUUCGGGUUGUAAACCUCUUUUAGCAGGGAAGAAGCGAAAGUGACGGUACCUGCAGAAAAAGCACCGGCUAACUACGUGCCAGCAGCCGCGGUAAUACGUAGGGUGCAAGCGUUGUCCGGAAUUAUUGGGCGUAAAGAGCUCGUAGGCGGUUUGUCGCGUCUGCUGUGAAAACGCGAGGCUCAACCUCGCGCCUGCAGUGGGUACGGGCAAACUAGAGUGCGGUAGGGGAGAUUGGAAUUCCUGGUGUAGCGGUGGAAUGCGCAGAUAUCAGGAGGAACACCAAUGGCGAAGGCAGAUCUCUGGGCCGUAACUGACGCUGAGGAGCGAAAGCAUGGGGAGCGAACAGGAUUAGAUACCCUGGUAGUCCAUGCCGUAAACGUUGGGAACUAGAUGUAGGGACCAUUCCACGGUUUCUGUGUCGCAGCUAACGCAUUAAGUUCCCCGCCUGGGGAGUACGGUCGCAAGACUAAAACUCAAAGGAAUUGACGGGGGCCCGCACAAGCGGCGGAGCAUGCGGAUUAAUUCGAUGCAACGCG